rnacentral:lncRNA from 1 species
CUCUUGCCUGGAGGCGCCCUGGGAUGACAAUACCGGCCAGAACGGUUGCCCUCAUCCCUUGAUCUCAGACUUUCCCAGACUCUAGAGGGUCUCUAUGGAUGUAGCCUUGGCUGUCCUAGCUUUGAACUCAGAGAUCCACCUGCCUCUGCUUUGUGAGUUCUGGAAUUAAAGAUGCACACCACCCACCAUGCCCAGCCGACAGAACCCUGCUGCCCGUAUACAGAUAUACGUUUGUAUGACAUGUGAGAUCAUCCACUGGCUCACAGUUGACCGACCAGAGACCACUCCCUACUGCUUCUCAGCCUGGGCUGGGGACUCUCGAGCCUCUCCAUGAUGGCCACCUGCCUUUAGCGUUUGGAGGCAACCACAGCUGCUGUGAGUUUGUAUAGCGCAGUGGUUCUCUCCCCUGCUUCCACCCCGUGACGCUACCUGAGCCCCAGCUGCAAGGGAAUGCCCAGCGUUCCUCCAGAGCAUUCUCCCAGCUGUUCCUCCUGAAGCUCCCCGACGGCCUCCUUAAAUAGCCCCUUCUCCCCGUUUCCCCAAUACCAGCAGCUCCAGGCUGGCUGUAUCAACUGUUGAAGCCUCAGCUCAGCUUCUCCUGGUCCCACUGUCUUCUAAUGGCAUCUUCUGCCCCAAGUGCCUUCUCCUCUCAUCUGCUGGCCCAAUCCCUUCUUUUUAAAUAAAUCUUGCCC